UUUCGUCUAUGAGCAGCUCCCCUCAACCUCCAUAGCCAAAAACCUUCUUUCUCAUUUAUUUGGCUCGUUCGUAGGUAAAUCGGGGAUUUAAUCGUAUAAAACAUAGCAAAUCAAUAUAAGGCAUAGAAGCUUGUAACACGAGUCGUGCAAAAAUGAAUGGAUCUAGAAGAUAGCGAAGGGUCGAAAGGUGAAAUAGGCUUAUGUUCAUAAGCCUGCGAGGUUAGAGUUGAUAUUAUGUCAGUGGUGUUGCGCAGCUUUGCAUCUUUUGCGAGUCACUGGUGGUCAACUUGGUUUAGUAGUCGUGGCAUGUUGUAUAAUAGUUUAAUCUUUAAUCUUCCACAGGAUAAAUGUUAAGUUUUAAAAUGUAAUAGAUUUUAAUUGUGCUUUUAAGCUAAAAAGAAAAAGAAAAAUUUCAGCA